ACUUACCAGGCCAAGACAUGGGCGUGAUUGACAGGCUAAUGACUUUUCUCGAUUCCAUGGAUGGUGGUGCAUGGUCGCACUUAGUUGGUGCAGUGAUUUGUCAGGUUUAUUCCGGUAACGAACGAGACCUCGGCCUUGUAAAUAGCUAUGCUGCUUACAGGGACAUUGGCGGCUACGCCAAGGAAGCUCGAGGCAAUUGCAGAUCUGGAAUGCCCUUAGAUGUCCUGGGUCGCACGCGUGCUACAAUGACGCCACGAACGAGCUUGCGUGAUGAAAGUUACGCAUAAUCAGCAGUCGGCGUCUUAAGGGAUAGUCUCUAGUAACUGUGGGACUCCAACUAGGAAUGUCCCGUAAGCACAAGUCAACAUCUUGUGUUGAUUACGUCCCUGCUCUUUGUACACACCGCCCGUCGCUCCUACCGAUCGAGUGUUUAGGUGAAUUUGAUGGACGUAAGGAAGUCAAAUAAACCUGAGCACUAGAGAAGAGAAGUCGAGCAAGCU
rnacentral:rRNA from 1 species